UACGUAGGGUGCAAGCGUUAAUCGGAAUUACUGGGCGUAAAGCGUGCGCAGGCGGUUCUAUAAGACAGAUGUGAAAUCCCCGGGCUCAACCUGGGAACUGCAUUUGUGACUGUAGAGCUGGAGUACGGCAGAGGGGGAUGGAAUUCCGCGUGUAGCAGUGAAAUGCGUAGAUAUGCGGAGGAACACCGGUGGCGAAGGCGGCGACCUGGGUAGAUACUGACGCUGAGGUGCGAAAGCGUGGGGAGCAAACAGG
rnacentral:rRNA from 1 species